rnacentral:rRNA from 1 species
UACGGGGGGAGCAAGCGUUGUUCGGAUUUACUGGGCGUAAAGGGCGCGUAGGCGGUCAGCACAUGUCAGUUGUGAAAUCUCCACGCUCAACGUGGAGGCGCCACCUGAAACUGCCGUGACUCGAGUCCGGUAGGGGAGUGUGGAAUUCCCGGUGUAGCGGUGAAAUGCGCAGAUAUCGGGAGGAACACCAGUGGCGAAGGCGGCACUCUGGGCCGGUACUGACGCUGAGGAGCGAAAGCGUGGGGAGCGAACAGG